rnacentral:rRNA from 1 species
AGAGUUUGAUCCUGGCUCAGAUUGAACGCUGGCGGCAUGCCUUACACAUGCNAGUCGAACGGUAACAGGUCUUCGGAUGCUGACGAGUGGCGAACGGGUGAGUAAUACAUCGGAACGUGCCCGAUCGUGGGGGAUAACGGAGCGAAAGCUUUGCUAAUACCGCAUACGAUCUACGGAUGAAAGCAGGGGACCGCAAGGCCUUGCGCGGACGGAGCGGCCGAUGGCAGAUUAGGUAGUUGGUGGGAUAAAAGCUUACCAAGCCGACGAUCUGUAGCUGGUCUGAGAGGACGACCAGCCACACUGGGACUGAGACACGGCCCAGACUCCUACGGGAGGCAGCAGUGGGGAAUUUUGGACAAUGGGCGAAAGCCUGAUCCAGCCAUGCCGCGUGCAGGAUGAAGGCCUUCGGGUUGUAAACUGCUUUUGUACGGAACGAAAAGACUCUUUCUAAUAAAGAGGGUCCAUGACGGUACCGUAAGAAUAAGCACCGGCUAACUACGUGCCAGCAGCCGCGGUAAUACGUAGGGUGCAAGCGUUAAUCGGAAUUACUGGGCGUAAAGCGUGCGCAGGCGGUUAUGCAAGACAGAUGUGAAAUCCCCGGGCUCAACCUGGGAACUGCAUUUGUGACUGCAUAGCUAGAGUACGGUAGAGGGGGGAUGGAAUUCCGCGUGUAGCAGUGAAAUGCGUAGAUAUGCGGAGGAACACCGAUGGC